rnacentral:misc_RNA from 1 species
GUUGGAUCUCGUCCCUGCAGAUUGUUGGUCGUCCAUAUAUAUAUAUUUUUUUCAAAUUUAGCAAAUUUAUAGGAUAAUCUGCGUAAUAUAUAUAUAUAUAUACAUCCAAAGAGUCACAAAGCAAGCGAAAUGUGAAUGCUUUGAAAUCAUUACUCACUUGAUGAAGCGAUUGUACGCUGAGGGGACUCUCUGUCUCUUCUCCGGGGCUGGACAUGGACAGAAGACAGACACAACACACAGAGACACGUUAAUAUAACUUGGAUAACUUUUAAUGCUUUUUUUUCUUUUCCUUCUUUCUCUACUGUCACUUCUCAUUGUCAUUUCUAUAUCUCUCCCUGUCCAUCCAUCCGCCAAACAUUCUUUGCUAACUACAUUUCCGGGAGAAGGAAAUGCACGAUCAUUCCAUACCAUCUACAAUUCCGGGGGAGUAUAUGCUUUCAAUUCAUAUUUAUAUGCAUACAAACAAAAAUGCAAAGCUAGCUCUCUGUGUUAUCAGCUGUUGUGUGUUAAAAGAAUAAUGAUUUAUAAAUAGGUUUGGUUAAAAAAUGAGACCCACAUGGGUUUUACUAGCUAGUAAUUAAGGGUUUUGUUUUAAAGAAAAAAAAUACUGAUGCUUAUCAAGUUUUAAAUCCUGGGCAGCAGUAUAUAUAUAUUUGUAGAUACUAGGUUUGCUGUCAAGGAUUUGCCUACUUAAUGUAGUGAUUGGAGGUCGAAAAAUGAGAAUGGAAGCCAUAAGAGGGUUUCGUUUCUUAUUAACGUGACUAAGGUCCUUUUCCCCCCACCAUCAAACAUAUAACCUCAAGACUGCUACGAGUGAACCAAAAGGGCUAUUGAUAUGAUUCUUUUCCCACUAUCUCCCUUGAUUCGCUAAGAAACCAUUGACCACGCCAAAGAAAGAAAUGGUUUCUAUCUAAAGCAAUACGUAAGAGAUUCUUCGCAGAGAAAAAGCAAAGCCAAAAACAAUGAAUCUCUCAUCUGAUACAGUAGGUCUUGAUUAUUCUCCAAGAUAAUAUAUGACAAUGACAAAGUGAAAGAAAAUCGAAUAAAAUUUUGGCCUGAAAAUUAUCUAGAAAAGAAAUUGAGAGAAUAAAGAAAUGAGGAAAAAUGAGAUGAAUCUCACGUCUGUUGAUAACUGGUGGCCUUGGAAGCUCAUCAUGAGUUACUCCUCGAGCUGGAACGCUAAAAUCAUUCACAUUGGUUUGAUUGAUCAAGAAGUUUGAAGAUGGGUUCGGAAUCUCAUCCUGCAACAAAAUCAUCAUCACGUGCCACAUAUACAUAUCCCAUGAAUAUGACAUGAUAUUCUACAAAAUCAAGGUCAUUUACAAGUAGAGUAACUGAAUUUAUCUAUUAAAUUAGCAGGUCUAAUUUUCAUUGCAUACCAGAAGAUUGUGAGAAGGAGAGAAGAAACUGUGACCCAAGUGAAACUGAUUAGCAGACGGCAAAAUCAACCCACGCAUGUUCACUGGGAGGAGGUUGGUGCAGUGACCGCAUCGAACAGUGACAGUCUUAAAUAGAGUCGUGCAAGGAACACUCACCUGCCAUAAAUCGAAGAAAGUGAGCAACAAAACAAGAAAUGAAGAAAGAAAGCAAAGAUACCUAAUUGGGUGAUCGAAGGACAUGCAAAGAGGCAAGAAAGAGAGAAACGAUGAAGACAACAUAGGAUUAGUG